GGGGGUGGGGGUGGGGGGUGGGGUAUGUUGAGCCAACCUGCCAGCAUUGAGAACACCACUGUAUUUAACUGAUAGAUUAUAUAUGUUUAGGGUUGAGGGUGAUGAAUUCAGGCUAGGGAAGACCCUGAAUCCAGGGAAAAAAGAAAAGAGAGUAGCCUCAGGUAAGGUGCAAGGUCAAGGUAAGGGGCUGGAUUCUUACAAACAAAAAGGAUUACGUGGAUCAAAAGGGAAGUCUCUUGGAGGGUGGCACCUUACCACAGAUCUAAAAUAAAAGUGGUGAUUAAGGAAAAGGGACAAUAGUCAAUACUCAGAAGAACAGGUGGAGGCCAAAGGUAAGGACAGAGUACCUGAGAGUCCUAUCAGGUGGCACGGAGGGGCACGAAGGGUGGGGUGGGAGGCAUUGAAACAACUCUCACAUGGCGUGGGCUUCGACCUAUGUUGUAUUUCAGAGAGAAAGGAAGGAAGGGAAUGGGGCAGUUCCACGUGGAGAGUGCCAGGCCUAUUUGAGAGGGGCAGAGGAGGAAAUGCUGAGAUCUUUGAUUAAGAAGUUAAAGGGAAGCACUAGAAUGCUCCAGGCCUGAAACUGUAGAGACUGAAGUACAGGGAACCAAGGUGGCUGCAGGGAGUCGAGGUGGCCAGGGAGUCACAGUGGCCGUCCACAUCAGUGAUUCUUAUCUGGGGUGGGGGGUGGGUUUCACCCGAGGGAGGGCUGGGGGCAUGGACCCCCAGGCAGGCCUAUCCAAUCAUCUGAGGGGUGAGCAAUGUUCAGCUCAGAAAAAGUAAGGGGG